ensembl:snoRNA
GUGUGGGAUGAUGGCACACCAUCUUUCGGGACUGACCCUGGAAUUUAAACUUUGUAUUUUACUCAUCACAC